AUUGAACGCUGGCGGCAGGCUUAACACAUGCAAGUCGAGCGGAGCGGCGGACGGGUGAGUCAUGCCUAGGAUUCUGACUGGUAGUGGGGGCUAACGUCCGGAAACGGGCGCUAAUACAGCAUCCUAACAGAUGAGCCUAGGUCCGAUUAGCUAGGUGGUGGGGUAAAGGCCUACCAAGGCGAAGAUCCGUAACUGGUGUGAGAGGAUGAUCAGUCACACUGGAACGUAGACACGGUCCAGACUCCUACGGGAGGCAGAAGGGGGGAAUAUUGGACAAUGGGCGAAAGCCUGAUACAGCCAUGCCGCGUGUGUGAAGAAGGUCUUCGGAUUGUAAAGCUCUUUAAGUUGGGAGGCGUUACCAACAGAAUAAGCACCGGCUAACUUCGUGCCAGCAGCCGCGGUAAUAC
rnacentral:rRNA from 1 species